UAUACAACAGAAUCAACAUCAACAGAGACAGAUUCAACAAUAUCUACAUCCACAGCAGAAAGCACAUCCACACACCAAAGUACAAUGAUGACCUCUUAUACAACAGAAUCAACAUCAACAGAGACAGAUUCGACAAUUUCUGCAACCACAGA